UACGGGGGAUGCGAACGUUAUCCGGAUUUAUUGGGUUUAAAGGGUGCGUAGGCGGACUGUCAAGUCAGCGGCAAAAUUGAGAGGCUCAACCUCUUCCCGCCGUUGAAACUGGUGGUCUUGAGUGGAUGAGAAGUACGCGGAAUGCGUGGUGUAGCGGUGAAAUGCAUAGAUAUCACGCAGAACUCCGAUUGCGAAGGCAGCGUACCGGCAUCCAACUGACGCUGAGGCACGAAAGCGUGGGGAUCAAACAGG
rnacentral:rRNA from 1 species